rnacentral:rRNA from 1 species
AUUGAACGCUGGCGGCAUGCCUUACACAUGCAAGUCGAACGGCAGCACGGGAGCAAUCCUGGUGGCGAGUGGCGAACGGGUGAGUAAAGUAUCGGAACGUGCCCAGUCGUGGGGGAUAACGUAGCGAAAGUUACGCUAAUACCGCAUACGAGCUAUGGAUGAAAGCGGGGGAUCGCAAGACCUCGCGCGAUUGGAGCGGCCGAUAUCCGAUUAGGUAGUUGGUGGGGUAAAGGCUCACCAAGCAGACGAUCUGUAGCUGGUCUGAGAGGACGACCAGCCACACGGGGACUGAGACACGGCCCAGACUCCUACGGGAGGCAGCAGUGGGGAAUUUUGGACAAUGGGCGCAAGCCUGAUCCAGCCAUGCCGCGUGCAGGAUGAAGGCCUUCGGGUUGUAAACUGCUUUUGUACGGAACGAAAAGGUUUGACUUAAUACGUUGGACUCAUGACGGUACCGUAAGAAUAAGCACCGGCUAACUACGUGCCAGCAGCCGCCGUAAUAC